GACGGAGGAGGCAAGCGUUAUCCGGAAUUAUUGGGCGUAAAGGGUACGUAGGCGGCUGGUCAAGUCUGGGGUCAAAGGCCACAGCUCAACUGUGGAAAGGCCCUGGAAACUGACCGGCUAGAGUGAGGUAGGGGUUGCGGGAAUUCCCGGUGUAGCGGCGAAAUGCGUAGAUAUCGGGAAGAACACCUGAGGCGGAAGCGCGCAACUGGGCCUCAACUGACGCUGAGGUACGAAAGCUAGGGGAGCGAAUGGG
rnacentral:rRNA from 1 species